rnacentral:tRNA from 1 species
GAGAUUGUGGCUCAGUGGCAGAGCGCUUCCUUUGCAAGUAUGAGGCACUGGGUUUGAUCCUCAGCACCACA